AAUUAAUGUAACAUGUCAAUGUUACAUAGACAAGCCUGGCUUUCUUACAAGUAUCUCAUUUAUACCCUGAUUGAUUAAUAUAAAUGUCAGAUUAAGUAAUCAGGUCUUUUUCUUCCCCUGUCUUUCUCCUUCAAGGAAAUCAUAGCCACAUCAUCAUAACAUUCUCCAUCACACUUUGGACAGUUUGGAGAUGAGGUGAGAUGAAAAGACUUCAACAUGCUGAUGUGGUAUUUUAAAAGAACAGUAAGAUCCCAGACAACACUCCCAGUAUCUCUGAUUAGAGAAGAUGUAAAAGCUUUAAGAACAUGCUGGUCAGCAAUGUACUCCUUUUUAAACAAAAAUGUCCUGUUAUUUACUAAAGAUGGGCACCUAAGUCUUUGAAAAAAAGGAACUGAAAAAACAACUGGGCAGGGUUUUACACCAUAAUAUAUCUGAGCUCCCUGAAGGACAGAACAAGAGGCUGCUGGACAUCAAGCCAGCAUGUGAGAGAUACAGUUCCUAUUUGUGAGUGACUUUCAUUAUGAAGGGGAAUAAAAUAAAAUAAUCUAGUUAUACUGACAACCUAAUGCCAUUUUUCUUUCCUAAUAAAGAUAAAGGAAAUUAGAACAGCUCAGUUUAAUGGAAGUUUUAAAAUUGGAGAUAUUCUCCUUGUUAUGUGUAGCAUAAUUCUUACCAAGGACCAUGCACAGUCUUAGCAACUAUCAUGUUGCUGUUUCAGUGAAAAUUAGUGGGUCUGUUGUUAAAAGGGAAGCCCCACCUAGAGAAUAGGUACUGAAGAGAGUAACAUAAAUGGCAAAGUACGGUGUUGUUACUGUGGCAAAACUACCCCAGACUUCACUGGAAUUUGUGGGAGCUGAACACCUUUGAAAAUCUGGUCAUAUCUUAAAA